GAACUGCGAUAAGUCAUGUGAAUUGCAGAAUUCAGUGAAUCAUCGAGUCUUUGAACGCACAUUGCGCCCCCUGGCAUUCCGGGGGGCAUGCCUGUCCGAGCGUCAUUGCUGCCCUUCAAGCCCGGCUUGUGUGUUGGGUCGUCGUCCCCUCCGGGGGACGGGCCCGAAAGGCAGCGGCGGCACCGCGUCCGGUCCUCGAGCGUAUGGGGCUUUGUCACCCGCUCGAUAAGGACCGGCCGGGCGCCAGCCGGCGUCUCCAACCUUUUUUUCUCAGGUUGACCUCGGAUCAGGUAGGGAUACCCGCUGAACUUAAGC
rnacentral:misc_RNA from 1 species